rnacentral:sRNA from 1 species
AUGCCAUGGUGUUCCUCUGUCCCUCCUCCCAAGCUGGUCUUCGGAGGAGCUUCCGGCUGGGCUGUAGGGAGAGACUGGGUGGCUCGCAGGAAGGGAAGAUGUCCUCCGGAGCUGAGUCUCCGGAGCUGCUGACUUACGAGGAGGUGGCCAGGUACCAACACCAGCCCGGAGAGCGGCCCCGCCUGGUGGUUCUGAUCGGGUCUCUGGGAGCCCGACUGCACGAGCUGAAGCAAAAGGUGGUGGCUGAGAACCCACAGCACUUUGGCGUCGCUGUUCCACAUACCACGAGGCCCCGAAAGAGUCAUGAGAAGGAAGGAGUGGAAUAUCA